UUUCAACCAAUUCUUUUAUUUUUGUAAGUUUAGCCCGAGUUGGUUUCUGUAACCCACAACCAUUGAUGGAGCCCUAAGAGUAAAGUCUAGUAAGAAGGGUCAGUGAGGAUGCCAGGAAGUUUUGUCUGGGGUCAAAAAAAUAAUGUUUAACAUUUACUGGGGUUCUACACUUGGCUGUUCAUUCUGUAAACACUCUUGAAAGAAGCUGUGGAGCCUCGAGACUUUAGCAUCACCUGGAGUUGAUUCUCUCGCUUAUCAGCACGUAAGCUGUUUGUAACAUUGACCAUGUUCCUUAAACUCUCCAAGCCUGUUUUCUUCUAGGACAUAUUCAAAGAAGUGACAAGAGAUUGUGGCGAAUGGGAACCAAGAGGGGACAUAUAGAAACAAAUCUGACCUUAAGGAAGGGGAAGUGUGUUUUCAACAAUUCUGUCCCAAGAAGGUAUUUUCUUUGUGGGCUGCAGGCUUCACAGGGAUCCUUUACUGUCCUUUACUGUGACCUCAGGGCUGGCUUCAUGAUGGAGAAGAUAUUUUCUGUGAAAAUCUGGAAGUGUUCUUACUUGAGAGGUUGCCACUGGGUUUAUGAGGGAGAAGGUCAUACAGAUUGUAAAAAUUGGUGGAGAAAACUUCCUUAAGAUAGCAUUUCUAACACAUUUCAAAGAAUGGCAUGUUGGGGUUCUCCCGAUCAUGCUGUCUUUCCUGGUGGUAGAAGAAUUAACUUAUAUAGACACCAGACAUUUCGAAGAGCGGCAAAGAAACAGCUGAAUAUAGAAAACUGGCCACCUUCUUUUAGUAACUUCAUGUUAAAAAGAUAUAGUUUGUGAUAUGGAUGAAAACGUUUCUAAAUCCUAUAAAAAAGUCUCCUAGCUUUUGUAAUAAUCCUGCUUAGAGCUCACAUUACUUUUCAUUUGGUUAAUUUUAUUUUAUUUUGCAGCAUUUUUCUGUAACUUUCUUUUGUUUUCAUUCAGCAAUUGUUGCCAGAAACAAUGUACUAAGUGAAAAGGUUAGGGAUUUUUUUUUCUUUUUUUUUUCCAUUUCACUGUUCUACAGAAUUGAAAGGAACAAUGUUUAAAAACUGACUCUAAGGGAUGAGUUAUUUCUAUUUGUUUUCUUGUUUCCUUCUUUCUUGGCUUGAUCUAUCUUCAUGUUUACAAUGCUGCAAAAAUUCUAUUAUACUCUUUUAAUAAUUAUAUUAGUGUGCUGCCUAUCCUCAAAACUUAGCUGCAUAUAAAACAAAAUUUUAAUGCAAAGAAUGUUAUUACUUAAUGAAAAUUAGCUUUGUCUCCAAACCUCUUUUACAUGGUAUAAUAGGUGGUACAUGCUUAUUUCUAAUUCAAUCCCAUUUAAAAUAAUACUCUCAGGGACAAAGAUGUAUUUAAGUACCUCAUUUUUAUUCUUUGGCCUUAAUUCACAUCCAGUGAGUGAGGGUGUCAGGGGGGUGACUUCUAAAAUCUUUUCCAGUCCUAUGAUCAGAGAACUUCAUGGUAUUCAAGAAAUUUACACAGACUCUCCCCUGCUUGGAAAAAAUCUAAUUUGGUGGAAAGUAAACAGACGUAUAACAUUAACAUUCAUAUACUGUUACUUCCUAUAAAUGUGCAUAUUUUCAAUGAAAACUUUUCUUUAAAAAGUCUAAUUUCUAUAAAACAUAUAAGUCCUGGGAAGUAAGAUAUAGCAUGUUGACUAUAGUUAAGAGUGCAUUGCAUAUUUGAAAGUUGUGAAGAGAUCUUAGAAAUUCUCAUCACAAGAAAAAGGAAUUUGUAACUAUGCAUAGUGAUGGAAAUUAUAACUAGACUUAUUGUGGUGGCCGUUUCCCAAUAUAUACAA